UAAUCAUCAAAUUGACAUGCCCUAAAUAAGAUGAGAUAACUGAACUGGGGUCUAAUCUGUAACCCCAAUUGGAAGGGUGUCAAUACCGUACCAUGGGUAAUGACAACCUGAAGAGAAACCUUCCACUGGCAGGUUCCCUAAAUAAGAAUGACGGUACCCUCUACUGGUAGGUAGAGCACCUUAUCAACCCUCAACUGGUAGGUUUAAUGUCCCAACCUACGCUGGCAAUGUAUUUUUGGAACACAAGAAUUGCUCCUAAGGAUCACACCCUCUGCUGGCAGGUGAGCCCCCAUCCUUGGGUUCACUCGGUGCUGAAUCCUACUCCUAAUUAAAAGACAUUGAAC
rnacentral:lncRNA from 1 species